rnacentral:piRNA from 1 species
UGAAGCUGCUAAGGUGAGAGGAUGAAUGUC